UACAGAGGGUGCGAGCGUUAAUCGGAAUUACUGGGCGUAAAGCGUGCGUAGACGGCUAUCUAAGUCGGGUGUGAAAGCCCCGGGCUCAACCUGGGAAUUGCAUUCGAGACUGAAUAGCUAGGGUACGGUAGAGGGAAGUGGAAUUUCCGGUGUAGCGGUGAAAUGCGUAGAUAUCGGAAGGAACGCCGGUGGCGAAAGCGGCGUGCUGGACCCCUUCUGACGCUGAGGCGCGAAAGCCAGGGGAGCAAACGGG
rnacentral:rRNA from 1 species